rnacentral:lncRNA from 1 species
UUCAAGAUUUUUGAGAUUUUAAUUCCAAAUAGCAAUGUUUCCUAUCAGAUUGGCCCCCAAUUCUUUUUAUUCAUCUGAAAAUUUGAAUUUCAUUGAAUUCAAGAUCUGCACUCUUAUUACCCAAGUAGAGAUUAUGCUUCUAGACUAGCAGUUCCAACAUGUAUUAAAACCAUUAGCAUAUGUGUUAUUGUUUGUUAAUUUUUUAUCUUCCUUACUAGGACUUCACCCCCAGAAGAGCUUUCUUUAUUAUCUCUGCAUCCCUAGCAUUUGGCAUAUAGUAGACAGUGUGUGUCUGUGUGUGUGUGUGUGUGUGUGUGUGUGUGUGUGUAGUGAAUAGAUAUAUAGUGUGAUAUAUAUGCAUGCAUAUAUAUUGUGAUAUACAUAUGUUGAAUGGAUAAAAAUACCAUAAAACAGCAUAUCUCAUAUGGACACUUUCUGAAAGUCUCUUAAAAAAUACUCAAACUGGCUGGGCGCAGUGGCUCAUGCCCGUAAUCCCAGCACUUUGGGAGGCUGAGGCAGGCGGGUCACUUUUGGUCAGUAGUUACAGCCUGGCCAACAUGGUGAAACCCCAUCCCUACUAAAAAUACAAAAAUUAGCCAGGCAUGGUGGUGCGUGCCAGUAAUCCCAGCUACUGGGGAGGCUGAGGUAGGAGAAUCACUUGAACCUGGGAGACAGAGGUUGCAGUAAGCCAAGAGCACGCCACUGCAUUCCAGCCUGGGUGACAGAGCAAGACUCUGUCUCAAAAAAAAAAAAAAAAAAAAAAAAAGCUCAAAUUUACUGUCAUUGCUCCCUUUUGAUAUAGGACAUGCCUUUCUUAAGUAGAUCACUGGAUAAGACAGAUAUUACAGUGCCAAUAUAGGAAUAUUAAGGAAAAUAUCACCAGUUGCAAAUUAAAUUUCAUGCAGGCUUGUUUGCUUUUAAAACAAUACAUAACAAAUCUCCAUUUAGAAAUACAUAUCACAUUGUGACCCAGUACACACAUACAUAUAAAUUGAAACAAAAGUUAUAUAAAACAGUAUUUAUUUGUAUACUUAUCAUAUCAACUGCAUCCUGAUCUUUUACUUUUUAUUUAUUUCUUUAUUUUUAGUGCUAAUCAUGACCCACUAACUUUAUAGAUUUCACAAUCUAUAAUGGGUCACAACCUGCAAUUUAAAAUCCACCAUUCAAAAUAAUAGUUUCUUUUGUGCAUUAAGUAUUUACAUUUCACUUGAUCUUAGCCAAAAGGCCGAGAAGCGAUGAGUAUUUACAUUUCAUCAAAAGAAGGAGCAUUAUGGUUAAAAUUGUUGGAGCUUCUAAAAUUUAUGAAUACUCAGAAGCAAAACUGUAGAUGAUAAGAAUUUAAUUAUUUAAUUUACCAAAAUCAUCAUAUAUGUUUCUCUAUGUGUAUGUGUAUGCAUGUGUAUGUGUAACUUCAUAGGUUCUAAGUUUGGGUUUAUGAAGAAGCUAGCUCUUUGUGGGUGGUGCUUCUACUUUUACUCUCAGCCAAGCACAAGACCUCCUCUUGAGAAGCUGCUGGUAGUGAGAAAUGAUCCUGGGUGGGGCGUGGCUUUUCUGCUGUUUGAAUAAAUUCUUUCUGAAAGUAAAGCAGAAUUGCUAACUCAUCACUAAUUAUUCCUUGUGCAUAUGUGAAUGAACUGUUUUUAAUACUACACUUGAAGUAUUGGUUAAAGAAACAGAUAGCUUAAUUGGUUAUGUCAUUUAUGAACUAAAUAAGCUAAGAUUCUUUCUGCCUACAAGAGUCUAUGGUUUAUGACAUAAUUUAGAUUUUUCUCAAUGUAUUUAUCUACUUAAUGUGGCAAAGCACAGGUAGGAAACCUUUCAUUUUGUUAUUUUUAGCGUCAAACUAAUCAUUCAUAUUAUUAAAUAUUUAUUAGUGACCCAAAUCUUCCCAGGAUGUAUACGAGUUUGUUGUUGAGCUGAUGAUUUGAAUCUUCAAAGGAGUUUCAGUGUCAGAGGCACUUACAGAUGGCUUCCAGUUUUAAGCCUUCCAUAGAAAGAUAAUGAGAUCUUAGCUCCCUGCUGACAAGUCCUCUAAAGAAAGGCUGUCAUACAUGUUUUCCUAGGCUGCAGAUUCUUCUCCCCUCUCUUGUAGUAAGCAGGGAGAAGGGAAAGACAAGAAAGAUGGUGGUUAUGCUGGGUACCUCCCUGGGCCCCUGACUACACUUAUUCAAACUGGACACAUUUUUCCUUCCUGACCUCUCAUUUUUCAGGUUCCUGGUCUCUGAAGGCUUGAGAGUAUCACAUUAAUAUACUUAGAAUUGCUUAAGAUUAUACUUAACUUGCCUAGCAGACUUUCUAAUCAUUUCCAAACCCAUGUCUUAAAGAGUUUUUGCCUUUCCCCCACCUCAGAAGCAAAUUAAAAAUUUCCCAAAAGUUGUGUUUAAAAUAUCUAUUUUAUAAAAUUUUGAAAAUGCAAAACAUUUAAUGAAGAAAAAAUAUGACCUAUAAUCCCAUCAGCCCAAGUUAACUUUUUAUCACUCUUCAUAUUGGGUGUGUAUUUUACUUUUUCUGUAUAUGUAUGUGUAGAUCUAUUUAGUUUGGAUUAAACUAUAGUAUAAUUUUGUAGUCCACCUUUCUCAUUUAACAAUAUAUUGUCAACACUUUCCAUAUUGAUAUAUAUUCCAAAAGGUGAUAUUUAAUGACUUGUAUAGUAUUUCAUCAUAUGCACAUACUGUAAUUUAUCCAACUCUUUAUUAUUUGACAUUUUUAUUGUUUAUAAUUUUUUAUUAUUAAUAAUUCCUUCGUGACUAUCCUUGUAGGUAUAUCUUUGGGCAUAACCAUGACAUUUUUCCCCUUAAUAUAAUUUCCUACAUGGGGACUUGCUGUAUUAGAAGGUAUGAACUUUUUUAAAGGCUUUUGAUAUAAACUGCCAAUCUACUUUCCAGAAACGUGUGAAUUUUCAUUUCCACUAUUUGGAAGCAAAGUCACCUUGAAGGGACAAGAUAGUUCCCAGGUCAGAGCAGGUUUUAUUGACAGUCUCAACAUUUAGCGAACUCUAGCAAUGUAGUUUAUAUCAGGCUGAUACUAUUAAACUGACUUUCUUUUUUCUGAUGACUUGCCUGCCUAAGUAGUGAGGAAUCCUUGUAGAUUCCUUGCUUUGGGUCCUGGGACUGAGUAUUCCAUUAACAGGAGGAGGAAGAGAAAGAGAAAGAAUUGGUUUGAUUUGGACAUAUUGGAUUGAGUCACCUGUAAAAUAUAUGAAGUAGACAAUUGGAAAUAAAGAUCUGGAGCUUGGAAAGAAAUUAGGGAAAGACGCACAUUUUAAGUCAUAGGAAUGGAUACGAUAUCCCCAGGAAGGACGUAGAUUGCAAAGAGAGAAGGGAAAAUGACAGAAUCUUGGGGAAUACCAACACUUAAGGGUCACAGAGGAGGACGCAGCAGAAGAUAUUGAGAAAGAAUAGUCAGAGAAAUAGGAAUAGAAUUAUAAUUGUUAGGCAUUCCUUUUCCCACACAGGUUCUUUUCC